GACAGAGGGUGCAAACGUUGUUCGGAAUUACUGGGCGUAAAGCGAGUGUAGGCGGUUUGGUAAGUCGGAUGUGAAAGCCCCGGGCUCAACCCGGGAAGUGCACUCGAUACUGCCAAGCUAGAGUAUCGGAGAGGUUGGUGGAAUUCUCGGUGUAGAGGUGAAAUUCGUAGAUAUCGAGAGGAACACCGGUGGCGAAGGCGGGCACCUGGGCCGACACUGACGCUGAGGCGCGAAAGCUAGGGGAGCAAACAGG
rnacentral:rRNA from 1 species